CGCACAUUGCGCCUGCUGGUAUUCCGGUAGGCAUGCCUGUUCGAGCGUCAGCAAAACCUCUCAAUGAAUUUAUUUUUGUUGGUCAUGGGCUGCGGAGGACUAGCCUUUAUGGCUGCUCCCGCCUUAAACUUGCUGCACGACCGUAAGCUAUUGCUAGGUUAAUGGAGUGGUGUUUACAUUAUAUUCCAGCGAUUACGCAUAGCUUGGUGGCGUUAAACCACGUUGCUUUCAGCAACUUGAAGUUUGACCUCGGAUCAGACAAGGAUACCCGCUGAACUUAA
rnacentral:misc_RNA from 1 species